rnacentral:rRNA from 1 species
GAUGAACGCUGGCGGCGUGCUUAACACAUGCAAGUCGAACGGUGAAGGCGGAGCUUGCUCUGCUGGAUCAGUGGCGAACGGGUGAGUAACACGUGAGCAAUCUGCCCCUGACUCUGGGAUAAGCGCUGGAAACGGCGUCUAAUACUGGAUACGAGCUGCGAAGGCAUCUUCAGCAGCUGGAAAGAACUUCGGUCAGGGAUGAGCUCGCGGCCUAUCAGCUUGUUGGUGAGGUAACGGCUCACCAAGGCGUCGACGGGUAGCCGGCCUGAGAGGGUGACCGGCCAAACUGGGACUAGGACACGGCCAAGACUCCUACGGGAGGCAGCAGUGGGGAAAAUUGCACAAGGGGCGAAAGCCUGAUGCGGAAACGCGGCGUGGGGAACGACGGCCUUCGGGUUGAAACCUCUUUUAGCAGGGAAGAAGCGAAAGUGACGGUACCUGCAGAAAAAGCGCCGGCUAACUACGUG